rnacentral:rRNA from 1 species
UACGAAGGGGGCUAGCGUUGCUCGGAAUCACUGGGCGUAAAGGGUGCGUAGGCGGGUCUUUAAGUCAGGGGUGAAAUCCUGGAGCUCAACUCCAGAACUGCCUUUGAUACUGAAGAUCUUGAGUUCGGGAGAGGUGAGUGGAACUGCGAGUGUAGAGGUGAAAUUCGUAGAUAUUCGCAGGAACACCAGUGGCGAAGGCGGCUCACUGGCCCGAUACUGACGCUGAGGCACGAAAGCGUGGGGAGCAAACGGG